GACGACCUUUGGCGGCGCGCCUAACACAUGCAAGUCGAACGAGAGAUAAAGAGCUUGCUCUUCAAAUCGAGUGGCGAACGGGUGAGUAACGCGUGAGGAACCUGCCUCAAAGAGGGGGACAACAGUUGGAAACGACUGCUAAUACCGCAUAAGCCCACGGCUCGGCAUCGAGCAGAGGGAAAAGGAGCAAUCCGCUUUGAGAUGGCCUCGCGUCCGAUUAGCUAGUUGGUGAGGUAACGGCCCACCAAGGCAACGAUCGGUAGCCGGACUGAGAGGUUGAACGGCCACAUUGGGACUGAGACACGGCCCACACUCCUACGGGAGGCAGCAGUGGGGAAUAUUGCACAAUGGGGGAAACCCUGAUGCAGCGACGCCGCGUGGAGGAAGAAGGUCUUCGGAUUGUAAACUCCUGUUGUUGAGGAAGAUAAUGACGGUACUCAACAAGGAAGUGACGGCUAACUACGUGCCAGCAGCCGCGGUAAAACGUAGGUCACAAGCGUUGUCCGGAAUUACUGGGUGUAAAGGGAGCGCAGGCGGGAGAACAAGUUGGAAGUGAAAUCCAUGGGCUCAACCCAUGAACUGCUUUCAAAACUGUUUUUCUUGAGUAGUGCAGAGGUAGGCGGAAUUCCCGGUGUAGCGGUGGAAUGCGUAGAUAUCGGGAGGAACACCAGUGGCGAAGGCGGCCUACUGGGCACCAACUGACGCUGAGGCUCGAAAGUGUGGGUAGCAAACAGGAUUAGAUACCCUGGUAGUCCACACCGUAAA
rnacentral:rRNA from 1 species